rnacentral:rRNA from 1 species
CCUACGGGUGGCAGCAGUAGGGAAUCUUCCGCAAUGGACGCAAGUCUGACGGAGCAACGCCGCGUGAGUGACGAAGGUUUUCGGAUUGUAAAACUCUGUUGCCGGGGACGAAGGACAGGGAGAGGGAAUGCUCCCUGGGUGACGGUACCCGAGAAGAAAGCCCCGGCUAACUACGUGCCAGCAGCCGCGGUAAUACGUAGGGGGCAAGCGUUGUCCGGAAUUAUUGGGCGUAAAGCGCGCGCAGGCGGUGCCUUAAGUCUGGUGUGAAACGUGAGGGCUCAACCCUCAUUGGCACUGGAAACUGGGGGACUGGAGUGCAGGAGAGGAGAGUGGAAUUCCACGUGUAGCGGUGAAAUGCGUAGAGAUGUGGAGGAACACCAGUGGCGAAGGCGACUCUCUGGCCUGCAACUGACGCUGAGGCGCGAAAGCGUGGGGAGCAAACAGGAUUAGAUACCCUUGUAGUC